ensembl:misc_RNA 7SK 7SK RNA
GGAUGGGAGAGCGAUCUGGCUGUGGCAUGUCACACCACUGAUCACCAGGGUUGAUUUGGCUGACCUGUCUAAGUAUGUGUCCCCUUCCUCCCUCAUGGCUCCAUGUGCGUCCCUCCUGAAGCUGCAGCCCAACUCACGAGGGCUUUCCCCAUAAAAGAGGGCCAGCCUUUGGUCAAGGGUAUGCUAGCACUCUGUGUUUUCCUGUUUAGAUCUCCAGAUAAGCCCUCAGGUGUACAACAUGUCCACAGGACACCCACUGCUUACUCUUUGCCAUGGAUAUUUGCAGCCUGAUAAUGACUAAAU